CGUUUCACGAGUCCACGAGCACGCACAAGUACGCGAAUUGAGAAACGGCCUGGGUAUGUUCAGCGAGAUUCGUGGUAUACCCCCCAGUUGUUCUGCUUAAAGAUUGUUAGAGACGUCAAGACCCGCCUUACGUUGCUUCUGAUUGGUUCAUAUUGCAUGGUGCCUUCCGUGGUUGGUUAAAUCUAGGCACAAAGGACUGAUGGAUUGGUCUGGGAUUGGUUAUCUCGAUCAGUCAAUCAGAGUUACUCGAAUUACAGCAAGCGGGAGGACCACACACACCCACACACAUGUGCCUGCCAUCACUUCCGGAGUCGUCGGACCUCGUGUAGUUGACAUCUCGAAGCUCAUCUGCAUACUUAGCUCCUGAUGGCUGGUACGUGACGGGUGGAGUCCUCACCAAAACAACAGGAACCUCUGGCUCAUCUCUAGCAGCUGCAGCUGAUGGAAGGGAGGCUGUCUCUUCAGCCACCAGGUUCUCCAGUUCUGCAGCAGCUUUUGCCUUCAUGUAGUCCACCC
ensembl:lncRNA